UACAGAGGUCUCAAGCGUUGUUCGGAUUCAUUGGGCGUAAAGGGUGCGUAGGUGGCGCCGUAAGUCAGGUGUGAAAUUUCGGAGCUUAACUCCGAAACUGCAUUUGAUAUUGCGGUGCUUGAGGACUGGAGAGGAGACUGGAAUUUACGGUGUAGCAGUGAAAUGCGUAGAGAUCGUAAGGAAGACCAGUGGCGAAGGCGGGUCUCUGGACAGUUCCUGACACUGAGGCACGAAGGCCAGGGGAGCAAACGGG
rnacentral:rRNA from 1 species